GUUAGGCUUUGCGUAUCAUUUAAUUGGAAUGUAAUAAAGCCUUAGUUUGGUCCCAUUUCCAAUUUGGAGAAAAUACAGGGACUUGAGAAACAAGUUAAUGACCGGAUCAAACAAGGGCAAGUCACCUGCUGGCAGGAGCUGGCAGGGUCUCUGCAAACGGUUCUGGUUGUCACCACAGAGGCAGGUGGUGCAAACGGCAUCUCGAGGGUGGAGGCAGGGAGAGAAGACACCACCCAAACGGACGUCUCAAGAGUCACAUGGACAAAGGCGCCAUAUGAUGUGAUGGAGAAAAUCUCAAGCGGACUCAGAUCUUACAGGAAGAAGAGCACGGACAUCAGCUGGUGGCAGGCGAAGACUGUGAUGCUGGCAGCAGGAAAGCCUUGCUGGGCCCAGGGAACAGGUCUGGUCUCAGGAGGUCCCUCCACCACUCACUGAUCUAGAACACUAGAAUGAAGAGUCUCAAUCAAGCCUUUGCAAAGUACCAUCCUGUUAAAAGAGCCACAAUGCAAGGAGCAGCCAGGAGUCUGAUACCAGAUGGGAUUAGAAGUUCUUGACCAGUGAUGGUCUUUACCCCUCUGUAUCCUACUAUCAUUUUGUUUUGUUUUGUUUUUCAAACUUCCCAGAGGUUCCAUAUGGUGCAAUUUUAUAAAUAAAUGAAAAAAUUCAUUUGAAAAAAGAAAAGAAAAUGUGUCCCACAACUCAGCCCUGCUUAAGGAUAACAUGCUCUGAAACCAGUUAGGAGACCCAAAAAAGCAUCUGCCAUAAUAAAGCCACCAGUGGCAAAAAUUCAUGGGAAAUUUCUGAAUUAUUUUCUGAAACAUGAGGAUGAAAGAAUAUUUUUAAAGUAAUAUAAUUAUAUGUGUUUCUAGUAUGUAUAAUGAAAUAAACAAAAUAUUAGA